CGCUACUGGAAGAUUAUUUAUAUUUUUUUUUCCUCGCUGUCUCCUAUGCCGGCAACGUCCUGCGAGUGGCUAUUUUGCAUUUGCACCGAGAGAAGGGCUUCCCCCCCCCCCUCCUCUUCUGACACUUAUGGAUGAAAUCCACACACUGAUGUCUAACCUGUAAUGAAAGCCAAUGAGUUACACCACAAACUCAGCUAUAACAGAACACAGAUUUUUACGUGGUGAUGGCAUAAAUGAAUCCAGAGAAUGUAG